GCCGGCCGCGGGCCCGCCAGGUCUCGGCGCUGCGUCUGCGGCGCCGCUGGGGGGAGCGCUUCCCUCAGCCGAUGCGUAGAGCGCGUCUUCGGCCCCAGGUGUGAGAAUGGGAGAGUCGCGGGAUCGUUAAGGACAGUGAGGUGCUGGAACAGGCUGCCCAGAGCAGCUGUGGGUGCCCCGUGCCUGGAGUGAUCUCUGAGGUCCCCUCCAACCUAAUCAGUUCUGUGAUGCUGUGAUCCCAGAUCUUGGUGCCCAGAGCGCCGUCCUUGGAGGUGCCCAAGCCAUGACAGAUGAUGAGCUGAUGAAUCUCAACAACCACCUUCAGAGGAAUCCUGUAACAAAAGUAAGAAUUUCAGUGGGAUUCCUUGUCACCCUGCUGAGAAUAUGGAAGUCACAGGUUAACAGAAACUUCCUUUGACCAUUCCACCAGCAAGGCAGGUGCCUGGCAAAAGAUCAUCCCACUGGGUUCCUGACAAUAUCUCAAGCCACAGAAAUCAAAUCAGUCUAAAAAUAAAUUAUCUAUAAAAACAUGAGCUGCUGCAGGAACAAAUGCAAUCAA